rnacentral:rRNA from 1 species
CCUGCUCAGAUUGAACGCUGGCGGCAUGCUUUACACAUGCAAGUCGAACGGUAACAGGCCGCAAGGUGCUGACGAGUGGCGAACGGGUGAGUAAUGUAUCGGAACGUGCCCAGUCGUGGGGGAUAACGCAGCGAAAGCUGCGCUAAUACCGCAUACGAUCUAUGGAUGAAAGCGGGGGACCGUAAGGCCUCGCGCGAUUGGAGCGGCCGAUAUCAGAUUAGGUAGUUGGUGGGGUAAAGGCUCACCAAGCCAACGAUCUGUAGCUGGUCUGAGAGGACGACCAGCCACACUGGGACUGAGACACGGCCCAGACUCCUACGGGAGGCAGCAGUGGGGAAUUUUGGACAAUGGGCGCAAGCCUGAUCCAGCAAUGCCGCGUGCAGGAAGAAGGCCUUCGGGUUGUAAACUGCUUUUGUACGGAACGAAACGGUACCUGGUUAAUACCUGGGGCUAAUGACGGUACCGUAAGAAUAAGCACCGGCUAACU